rnacentral:rRNA from 1 species
AUUGAACGCUGGCGGCAGGCUUAACACAUGCAAGUCGAGCGAGCGGCGGACGGGUGAGUAAUGUCUGGGAAACUGCCUGAUGGAGGGGGAUAACUACUGGAAACGGUAGCUAAUACCGCAUACCAUCAGAUGUGCCCAGAUGGGAUUAGCUAGUAGGUGGGGUAACGGCUCACCUAGGCGACGAUCCCUAGCUGGUCUGAGAGGAUGACCAGCCACACUGGAACUGGGCCACGGUCCGGACUCCUACGGGAGGCGGCAGUGGGGAAUUUUGCACAAUGGGGGCAGGCCUGUUGCAGCCAUGCCGCGUGUGUAAAGAGGGCCUUCGGGUUGUAAAGCAUUUUCAGCGGGGAGGCGUUACUCGCAGAGGAAGCACCGGCUAACUCCGUGCCAGCGGCCGCGUAAUUC